rnacentral:rRNA from 1 species
UACGGAGGGGGCUAGCGUUGUUCGGAAUUACUGGGCGUAAAGCGCACGUAGGCGGCCUUGUAAGUCAGGGGUGAAAGCCCGGAGCUCAACUCCGGAAUUGCCUUUGAGACUGCAUCGCUUGAAUCACGGAGAGGUGGGUGGAAUUCCGAGUGUAGAGGUGAAAUUCGUAGAUAUUCGGAAGAACACCAGUGGCGAAGGCGGCCCACUGGACGUGUAUUGACGCUG